rnacentral:rRNA from 1 species
AAGAGGGUAUGGAUGGUCCGGGAAAAGGCCUCAAACUCCGGGUGCUCAAAAAUGGUGCUUUGUAAGCCCUCGGCGCACUGCUCAGUAACACGCGGAUAAUCUGCCCUCGAGUGGGGGAUAACCCCGGGAAACUGGGAAUAAUACCCCAUAGCCGUUCCAUGAUGGAAGGCUGGGACGGCGAAAGCUGAGGCGCUCGAGGAUGGAUCUGUGGCCUAUCAGGUCGUAGGGGGUGUCACGGACCCCCUAGCCGAAGACGGGUACGGGCUUUGAGAGAAGUCGCCCGGAGAUGGGUUCUGAGACAUGAACCCAGGUCCUACGGGACGCAGCAGGCGCGAAACCUCCACAAUGUGGGAAACCACGAUGGGGGAACUCC